CCUACGGGUGGCAGCAGUGAGGAAUAUUGGUCAAUGGGCGCGAGCCUGAACCAGCCACGUAGCGUGAAGGAUGACUGCCCUAUCGGUUGUAACCUUCUUUUAUAAGGGAAUAAAAUGUUCCACGUGUGGGAUUUUGUAUGUACUUUAUGAAUAAGGAUCGGCUAACUCCGUGCCAGCAGCCGCGGGAAUACGGAGGGUCCGAGCGUUAUCCGGAUUUAUUUGGUUUAAAGGGAGCGUAGGUGGGUUGUUAAGUCAGUUGUGAAAGUUUGCGGCUCAACCGUAAAAUUGCAGUAGAUACUGGCAGGCUUGAGUGCAGUAGAGGUGGGUGGAAUUCGUGGUGUAGCGGUGAAAUGCUUAGAUAUCACGAAGAACUCCGAUUGCGAAGGCAGCUCACUGGACUGCAACUGACACUGAGGCUCGAAAGUGUGGGUAUCAAACAGGAUUAGAUACCCCAGUAGUC
rnacentral:rRNA from 1 species